rnacentral:rRNA from 1 species
AUUGAAUGCUGGCGGCAUGCCUUACACAUGCAAGUCGAACGGUAACGGGCCUUCGGGUCCCGACUAGUGGCGCACGGGGGAGUAAUACAUCUGAACGUGUCCGAUCGUGGGGGGUAACGCGUCGAAAGCUUGGCGAUUAUCCCAUACGAGCCACGGAGGAGAGCGUGGGAGCUCAACGGCUUUCGCGCUCGCAGCUGCCCCUAGGGCGGAUUAGCUAGUUGGUGGGGUAAAGGCAUACCAAGGCGACGAUGCGUAGCUGGUCUGAGAGGAUGAUCAGUCACACUGGAACUGAGACACGGCCCAGACUCCUACGGGAGGCAGCGGUGGGGAAUUUUGGACAAUGGGCGAAAGCCUGAUCCAGCCAUGCCGCGUGUAGGAUGAAGGCCUUCGGGUUGUAAACUGCUUUUAUACGGAACGAAAAGCAUUCUUUUAAUACAGGAGGGUCAUGACGGUACCGUAAGAAUAAGCACCGGCUAACUACGUG